rnacentral:rRNA from 1 species
UAUUAACGCUGGCGGCGUGCUUAACACAUGCAAGUCGAACGGAAAGGCCCAAGCUUGCUUGGGUACUCGAGUGGCGAACGGGUGAGUAACACGUGGGUGAUCUGCCCUGCACUUCGGGAUAAGCCUGGGAAACUGGGUCUAAUACCGGAUAGGACCACAUUUUGGAUGGUGUGGUGGAAAGUUUUUCGGUGUGGGAUGAGCUCGCGGCCUAUCAGCUUGUUGGUGGGGUAAUGGCCUACCAAGGCGUCGACGGGUAGCCGGCCUGAGAGGGUGUACGGCCACAUUGGGACUGAGAUACGGCCCAGACUCCUACGGGAGGCAGCAGUGGGGAAUAUUGCACAAUGGGCGCAAGCCUGAUGCAGCGACGCCGCGUGGGGGAUGACGGCCUUCGGGUUGUAAACUCCUUUCGCUAGGGACGAAGCGUUAUGUGACGGUACCUGGAGAAGAAGCACAGGAUAAAUACGUG